rnacentral:lncRNA from 1 species
AGCGUUUAGUGGCCGAAAUACCACAAAUAACGGCGAACACAGAGGUUACCAAACAAAAGCUUCAGCACGUUGUCUCGACUACUACUCGCCAGCUUCUCGUCCGGGCAGGCAGCAGGUACGCACCAAGCGAAGGCGACGUCCAGCGGGGGCACCACAUCUUUGCCAUUGUUCUGCUCCAUAACCUUUAUCCAAAAGCGCUCGUAACGCGCUGCAGCUGCAGCCGCGUAAUAGCCCGUGUACAAGCCACCUUAUAAGCGCAGGCACGGCUCGAUUAAUUGCACAAAUAUAUAUAGGAUGCAGAAGAAUUUCAUCUUUCACUCCUACCUCUAGGGAAGCAGUCCACUGCAUGAAAUAGCCGAAGCAAGUCCACGCACUUUGAGGCAGGCUCAUGCGUAGAUAUAAGAGAAGCGAGGUUUCCCUGCCAUUUGUCUGCCAUUUGUUUCCCUUGACGAUUUCUAUUUGUUAUAAAAUUAUUGUUAUUUCACCGAUAGUCACGUAGGACUGAUGCCAAGGGGCAAUAAGUUUCGGCGGUUCGAGCCUCAAAAUGAACCCACCCUGGAGCUGACCAUUAAAACCGCGUGAAAGAGGCACAACACAUUGCGGCGGUUAGCAAUCGGGUUGCGAAGAAAAUCGGCAUCUGGUGCAGAAACGUGAGCUGGCUAAGUUAUGUGGUUUCGCGCAAAUCGUCAAGCUCGCCCUGACUCCGGCCCCUUUCUUUCUCCGAAAUUGUUAUAAUGAUAUCAAGCAACCGGUUGGUUGGUCCGGCCGAGUGCGCUUGUCCCGUGGGUCAUUACGUGACCUAUACUGGUGGGCGGACAUCCCUACCCAUCGCUGAUCGGCGGCUAUUCUGCGGCUAUUCACCAGGGCCCUGUCGCAGUUGAGCUUUCGGUGGAUGUAUCGCGCCAUUCCUGGGGCGAAGUCCUGCAUGGUCGUGGUGGUAUGGCGCGCGGUUAUUAUUGGUCGGCACCAGAGCUUGGUAGCUUUCCAAGCACAUCAAUUGGGGGGAGUUGAGCGCUGUCCGUCAUGCAUGUAGAUGGCACGAGGCUGUGAGGUCGCAUGUAAUAUCGACAUUUUUGCGACAUCACUGCCUAUGUCGGCUGUGUGUACUCUUCUG